AUUGAACGCUGGCGGCAGGCCUAACACAUGCAAGUCGAGCGAGCGGCGGACGGGUGAGUAAUGUCUGGGAAACUGCCGGAUGGAGGGGGAUAACUACUGGAAACGGUAGCUAAUACCGCAUACCAUCAGAUGUGCCCAGAUGGGAUUAGCUAGUAGGUGGGGUAACGGGUCACCUAGGCGACGAUCCCUAGCUGGUCUGAGAGGAUGACCAGCCACACUGGAACGUAGACACGGUCCAGACUCCUACGGUCGGCAGCAGUGGGGAAGAUUGCACAAUGGGCGCAAUCCUGAUGCAGCCAUGCCGCGUGUGUGAAGAAGUCCUUCGGGUUGUAAAGCACUUUCAGCGGGGAGGCGUUACCCGCAGAAGAAGCACCGGCUCACUCCGUGCCAGCAGCCGCGGUAAUAC
rnacentral:rRNA from 1 species